rnacentral:lncRNA from 1 species
AACGAUAUUUCAUGUUGGUGUGUUAAUCUAGUACUUUUGAAGUCAGUUUGAAAAGUUAAACAUAAUUAAGAGAUUCCCAACCUAUGCGUUAGCAAAUGCACCCUCUAAUUUUUUUUAUUUUUUUUAGAGAAUUCCUAGAGUACCAUAUAAAGAAAUGAGAAUAUAUAUAUAUAUAUAUAUAUAACAGUUAAAUGUUAAAUCUCUCGAUUUAUUAUUUGCAUUAACACGUCCUAUCGAGUAAUGGUUAAAUUAACUUAC